AAGGGCACCACAAGAACGCGUGGAGCAUGUGGCUUAAUUUGACUCAACGCUGGAAAUCUUACCGGGUCCGGACACACUGAGGAUUGACAGGCGCAUAAACAGUUAUUCUUUAUUAAAUUUUUUAUUUUUUAAAGGAUUCUGUUUUUUUAAAUAUGCUAGUCCUUUCAUGAUUGUGUGAUAGGUGGUGCAUGGCCGUUCUUAGUUCGUGGAGUGAUCUGUCUGCUUAAUUGCGUUUCACUAAGAACUUUUAAAUUUGCUAUUAUUGUUAUUUCAAUGUAUUUAUAUGUUGAUUUAACUUUUUAGCAUAAAAAAGUUCUGAUCGCAACGAACGUGACUGCAGCCUCUUGUUAUAUCCCAUCCUGGCCUGUGUGUUUAGUGUUUAAUUCUAUUUUUAAUGUUGUAAACGUUAUUAAUAGAUUACAUUAUUCUAUACUACGUAUCAGGUAACGGAGUAACUAGAGGGACAGCCGAGAUAUUUUUAAGCCGGAGGAAGGUUGCGGCAAUAACAGGUCUGUGAUGCUCUUAGAUGUUCCGGGCUGCACACGUGCUACAAUGAUUAUUGCAAUCAGCAUCUUAUAUUAUUGUAUUUUUGUAAUUUUUUAUUACAAAUUAAAUACAUAAACAUGCUUCGAAAGUAAGUAGGUAAUCAAUCCGAAGUAAUGAUUUCCACCGCACAAUACAAUUGUCUCUUUAAGUAAAAUUUAAGUUUUUCUUUUUGAUUAAUUUAGUUUUAUCUUAAAGCAGGCAUGUGCUCCAUUAAUUCAUGGUGGUGACAGACCAUUGAUAAUUGUUGGUCUCAGUCUCAACUAGGAAUGCCUUGUACGGGUCAUGGUUCAACAGACCGCCCAGAAUACGUCCCUGCUCUUUGUACACAUCGCCCGUCGCUCUUACCGAUGGGAUUCCCGGUGAGUUUGAGAGACUGGAAAUUUUAUAUUUCUAUGGAAACUUAAACAAACCUUGGGUCCUAAAGGAAAGAGAAGUCGAACAAGGCA
rnacentral:rRNA from 1 species